GUGCUCUGUUCAGCAGCACAUAGACUAAAGUUGAACUGAUACAGACAAGAUUAGCCUGCCCUGUGCAAGGAUGACACACAGCUUUAUGAAGAAAUAAAAGUUUGU
ensembl:snRNA U6 U6 spliceosomal RNA